rnacentral:rRNA from 1 species
UGCAGUCGAGCGGAAGAUGGGAGCUUGCUCCCUGAUGUUAGCGGCGGACGGGUGAGUAACACGUGGGUAACCUGCCUGUAAGACUGGGAUAACUCCGGGAAACCGGGGCUAAUACCGGAUGCUUGAUUGAACCGCAUGGUUCAAUUAUAAAAGGUGGCUUCUGCUUACCCUUUCCAAAGGGACCCCCGGGCCUUUACUUAUUGGGGAAGGAACCGGUUCCCCAGGGCACCAAGGCUAACCCAACUGG